UACGUAGGGUGCAAGCGUUUGUUCGGAAUUACUGGGCGUAAAGGGCGCGUAGGCGGGUUUGCAAGUCGUCUGUGAAAUCCCCGGGCUUAACCUGGGAAUGGCAGGCGAAACUGCAGAUCUUGAGUGCUUGAGAGGAUGGCAGAAUUGCAGGUGGUAGAAGUGAAAUUCGUAGAUAUCUGCAAGAACACCGGAGGCGUAAGGCGGCU
rnacentral:rRNA from 1 species